CAUUGAGGUUAUAAAAAGCCAUGGGGGAAUGGUUUCCUUCAUGUUCAGUGUCAUUAUCAGAGCUCCUUGCUCAUUGAUACAGUGACACUCCUUACAUAUAUUAUACCAUAUGAUACGACCUGUGUUAGUUUCUUCAUAUAAUUACUUUCAUUACUUGUACUAACUAACCUUGCUUAUUGAAUAUGUAUAUAUCACACAGAUCUAGCUGAUAGAAUCAUGGAAGGAUGCAUGGCGAAUGGUAAAUGAGAGAGAGCUUUCUUUAGUCCACUCAUGGGUUGCUGUAAGAUUUAAUUAGCUGCUGACUCAUUCAUCCAAAUGCUGAGUAAAAUAUACUCAAGUAUACUCUGCAAAUGAGUGAAUGAUGCGGGAGACAAAUUGAGUCUUAAGCUUCCUGUAUUUGGACUGAAGGGAGCUCCCUUUCUUUCUUCCUAUUAUAUAUCUCUUUCAUUUUGCUUCUGAUCUCUUUCUUUAAUCUCUUUUUCCUUAAUAUUUUCAUAUUUGCAUACACAUGAGAUUUAUCUAAACUAAAAGCACCCGCACGUUCUUACCCUUUAAGGAAAUAUAAUUAAUUAAAACUUUCUUCUUGUUAUGACUGACUUGUGUAAGAUCUUGGACUAUACUGUAUUUGCUUUUAAGAGUGAGUAAUUAACAAUGGUCGUGGGGUUUCUUUGGUACGGCAAAAUGGAUUCCAACAGUAAGCAAGAUAGAUCGCACUUGAGAGACACAAGACAAGAUCAUGAGGAGCAGGUCGAGUCCAUCUUCUGCUGUAUUCUCGGGCCUCGUCUUUUCUCAGCUGCAACAAGUUCCUAGACUUGAAUCGAUGUCUCCCACAGCACCACCAUUGCAGUUUCCAAUAUUUUAUGCUUUUGCCCUUGUAAAAUGCAAAUUCGUAUUGUAUGUGUUAUUUCAAUUCAAUCAAAAUAAGAUUAGUCAAUUUUUGCGCCGAUUAA